UGGGGGAUCGUAAGACCUCGCGCUUAGUGAUAGGCUCAUGGGAUAUCAGCUUGUUGGUGGGGUAAAGGCUCACCAAGGCUAAGACGUCUAGGCGGAUUGAGAGAUUGACCGCCAACACUGGGACUGAGACACUGCCCAGACUCCUACGGGAGGCUGCAGUCGAGAAUCUUUCGCAAUGGGUGAAAACCUGACGAAGCGACGCCGUGUGAAUGAAGAAGGCUCUCGGGUUGUAAAGUUCUUUCGCUUGCGAACAAGAGAGGUCAACUAAUAAUUGGCCAAUUUGAGGGUACCAAGUAAAGAAGCACCGGCUAACUCCGUGCCAGCAGCUGCGGUAAUACGGAGGGUGCAAGCAUUAAUCGGAAUUAUUGGGCGUAAAGGGCGCGUAGGCGGGAAGAUAAGUCAGAUGUGAAAGCCCAAGGCUUAACCUUGGAAUUGCAUUUGAAACUAUUUUUCUUGAGGAUAGACGGAGAAAAUGGAAUUCCACAUGUAGCGGUGGAAUGCGUAGAUAUGUGGAGGAACACCAGUGGCGAAGGCGAUUUUCUAGUUUAUACCUGACGCUAAGGCGCGAAAGCAAGGGGAGCAAACAGGAUUAGAUACCCUGGUAGUCCUUGCCGUAAACGAUGUAUACUAGAUGUAGUUGGACUCAACCCCAACUGUGUCGUAGCUAACGCAUUAAGUAUACCGCCUGGGGAGUACGCUCGCAAGGGUGAAACUCAAAAGAAUUGACGGGGACCCGCACAAGCAGUGGUGCAUGUGGUUUAAUUCGAUGCAACGCGAAGAACCUUACCCAGGCUUGACAUGUAGUGGACAGUUCUAGAAAUAGAAUCUUCCUUCGGGACCGCUACACAGGUGCUGCAUGGCUGUCGUCAGCUCGUGCCGUGAGGUGUUGGGUUAAGUCCCUUAACGAGCGCAACCCUUGUCGUCAAUUGCCAGCAUUUCGGAUGGGAACUUUGACGAGACUGCCCGGGUUAACCGGGAGGAAGGUGAGGACGAGGUCAAGUCCGCAUGGCCCUUAUGUCUGGGGCUACACACGUGCAACAAUGGUCGAUACAGAAGGCAGCAAUACCGGAAGGUGGAGCAAAUCCUUAAAAUCGAUCUCAGUUCGGAUUGUAGUCUGCAACUCGACUACAUGAAGUUGGAAUUGCUAGUAAUGGCGUGUCAGCUACAACGCCGUGAAUACGUUCCCGGGUCUUGUACACACCGCCCGUCAAAUCAUGGGAGUCGGUUCUACCCGAAGUCGUUGACUCAACCGUAAGGAGAGAGACGCCGAAGGUGGGG
rnacentral:rRNA from 1 species